rnacentral:rRNA from 1 species
CAGCCGCCGCGGUAAUACGGAGGGGGCUAGCGUUGUUCGGAAUUACUGGGCGUAAAGCGCACGUAGGCGGCUUGGUAAGUUAGAGGUGAAAGCCCGGAGCUCAACUCCGGAAUUGCCUUUAAGACUGCCGAGCUAGUAGGUGAGAGAGGUAAGUGGAAUUCCGAGUGUAGAGGUGAAAUUCGUAGAUAUUCGGAAGAACACCAGUGGCGAAGGCGGCUUACUGGCUCAUUCUAGACGCUGAGGUGCGAGAGCGUGGGGAGCAAACAGGAUUAGAUACCCGCGUAGUCCCUGUCUCUUAUAC